UACGUAGGGUGCAAGCGUUAAUCGGAAUUACUGGGCGUAAAGCGUGCGCAGGCGGUUUUGUAAGUCUGAUGUGAAAUCCCCGGGCUCAACCUGGGAAUUGCAUUGGAGACUGCAAGGCUAGAAUCUGGCAGAGGGGGGUAGAAUUCCACGUGUAGCAGUGAAAUGCGUAGAGAUGUGGAGGAACACCGAUGGCGAAGGCAGCCCCCUGGGUCAAGAUUGACGCUCAUGCACGAAAGCG
rnacentral:rRNA from 1 species